CGUUUCAGUUAUAAGGUUUAUAGAUUUUGCGAUUUUAGAUAUUUUGAUUUCUAGGGUUUCAACUAUGAAUCUAUAUUUAUUUUUUUAGUUUAUCGAUUUUAUGUUUCUAUCUGUGAAUCUGUUAUUUUUGAUUUUUAGGAUUUCGAUUUCAGUUUAUCGAUUUUAGUGUUUCAUUUGUGAAUUCGUUGUUUUCAAAGUUUUUUAAUUUCUUAAACUCGCAAAUUCAAGGGUGAACCCGUUGAGGAGAAGGUGAUGAGUUGAGCCGGUGCUGUGUAAGAAGAGUUAGCUAGAGUAAUCAUUUAAGAGAAGGUGAUGGUGAUGAUAAGUUGCAGUUGACGAAGAUUGAAGCUCGAGAUUGAUUCAAGCAUAAGAGUUUCUGUUUCAUGAAUUUGUGAAGGAGAUCGAGAGGAAUUAAGGUGGUACUGAUAAUGGAAGAACUGCAAUUAGGGUUUGAGUUGAACUCAAGAAUUGAUGGUUGUGAUUCUGUUAUUUUGAAGAAUAAAUUUAGAGAAAUUCAAAAUUAGGGUUUCUUGUUCUUUCCCAAUUAUUUAAUUGAAAUUUGUUAUGAAUGCUUGAAUAGGUGAAAUCUGGUGGAGAAAUUGCAGUAGUAGAAGACCUAGAAGGAGUUCUGAGACAUUGAAGUUAAGGUUUGAUGAAGGGAAUGUAUGGAUUGUGGUACAGGAUGGGUUUCUAUUAGUGGUGUUUCAGGUGCUGAGAAGAUGUUGGAUGAGAUGAGAUAAGUCGUUUCUAGACCUAACUGAUUAAUUUUUGUAAUUUAAAAGGUUUCUCUAUUUUCAGCUAAGUCGUUCUAGGUGUUAAGGCACUUAAAAAAAAGUUCUGUAUAUAUGAAUAUUCGAAGCUUCUUGUGAAACAUCUGUUUGACAUGUCCUCUAAUUUGCAGUUGAUGUUGUUGAAAUUGGGGAGAGGCAAGGAAAAAUUGGCGAGAUAAGAUGGAGAGAGAUAGAUAUAAUUUUCAGAACUCAAGAUUUAUUUAUACCAUAGCUAGAAGCAUGUUAGAUUUAGGUGUGGGGGAGUGUUUGGCAUACCAAGUUUUUGGCGCCGCUGCCGGGGACUCGGUAGCGGUGUGGCUGAAGUUUCUUCGUUAAUUUACUGAUUUUUGUUAAUAUUGUAAAUAUGUGCUAGACUUUCUUUUGUUUUUCUCCUCUUGUUGCUAUAGCUUGUUCUUUAGCAUAUUACAUGUAGUAACUUCAAAUAUAUCUGCAUCCUCUAUUCUUUUCUUUCUUUUAGUCUAGUUGCAUUUUGUUUUAGUGCAUUAGCUAAUCAUCAUUGUAUUAGUUGCUCCUUUUGUUAUCAUAAUCUGCAUCUCAGUAAUCUUUUUAGCUGUAGGUUUUUUCUUUUCUGCACUCUCUCAGUUCUUUUUGUAGUGUAACUUAGUGUAACUGGUGCUAUUUCAGGCUUCUGUCAUUAUCAUCUGUAACUUAUCAUUUUGUGUACUAUUGUAGUUUCUUCCAUUUGAUGUUUGUGGCUUAGUCCUGUAAGCAUCGUAGAUUUUACUUUCAUUAGCAUAUCUACAUAUCUGCAUCUAGUUAGGACAGCUAAACCUUUGUUUUAUACCUCUUCUGUAGAUCAAAUCUUGUUGGAACUCUCUGCAUCUGUAGUUAAGAUAUGUAUAUAUUUGUUUUGGUUUUAUUCAGUAGUAUAAUUUAGGUUUUUCCUUCUAUGAUUUAAUCUACAUCUCUCUUAAAAAUUUCUGUCAUUGCAUUCUGCAGUUUUAGUUGUGCAUUUGUUAGGUUUGUUGUAUCUUUCACCAUCUCAGUUAUAGCAUAAUUAGAAUCUGUCCCCUGUAACUAUUUCAUUCCUGCAUUUUGUUGGCAAUUUUUCAGUUACUUAAGAAUAUAAGGGUCUGUAAAUAUUGUUUCGAUCCCUCUAUAUAUACUUUUCAUGUGUGCUUUGUAGCAUCUGAGCUGUAGUGGUAACUAUAGUUUAAUCAUUCCAUUGUCAUUGGCAUAAUCUAGCUGUUUUAACCCUGUUGUACAUAAAUCUCAUCUCAUCUCUUUAGUGUUAGCUGUAACUUUUAUUUUCAGUCAUCUGCAUUUAAGCUCAUAUCUGCAUCUGCACCUAGUGUCAUUCUGUAACUUUAGUCUGUAUAAACUGCAUCAUUAGCAUAAGAUAGAGCUCAGUCAUAAUCACCCGCAUCUUUAAUCUGUAGCUUACCAUUUCUAUUGUAUAUCCCAUCUGUGUAUAACUGGCAUCACUUUUAAACUUUCAGUUAGUUUCAUCGCAUAACUGCGGUUAAUUUGAAGUUAUCUGUGUCAAUUUUUUGUAUCUCUCAACUGCUGUGCUUCUGAAUCCUAGUUCUGGCAUCUUUUUACUCUGGCACUUAAAUUAGUCUCGCAAGCAUAAGCAUUCUAGCACAACUUGAACUUUGUAGAAGAAUCCGUAAUCUGUGUAGAUAGAUGUGCUAGUCCGUUGCUGCUAAAAACUUCUCAUCACCCUGAAUUCUAAAAUCUGACAAGCAUCUUUAUAAGCAAGAUCACUGCACUGUCACCAGUCCCAGCAUACCCAAACUUCAUAUUGCAGAAUCUCUUGCCAGAAACGGUCUACUGAGUCAUUUAAUGUGGUAUAAUUUUCAGGGCACUCUCACUGCUAUAAGAGAUUGGUUCAGAGACUACAAGAUCCCAGAUGGAAAGCCUGCCAACAAGAAUACACACCAUCUUUUGACAGGAGGAAUCCAGAAAGUUCUUCGUAUUUUCGAUUUGAAUCGUCCAGAUGCAACUCCAAGGGAAGUUGAGAAGUCUCCUGGUUGAAAUAGAACUGCGCAAUGGCUUCAUAGUGAUCAAACAAUAGUUCUUGCACUGAUAUUAGGGGCGUGAGGUUGAUUGAAUGAUAUGUUAUGAGACCAGAAAUUAAGGUUGGCGAACAAAGCAGCAGCCAUUAGGUCCCUUGGCAGCUGCAAGAUUUGUAAGUUUAUGUAGUAUCUCCUUAUAGUGAUUUAAGUUGGAAGAACUUAGGAAUUUCGCAACUUUCUAUGAACUGAACUUAGGAACCAAGUAUGUUCUAAUGUGUACACUAGUUUGUUGUGAUACUUGGAAUACAUUUGUAUCAAAUACUCAAUACUUUUUGUUAACAUCAAUUGAAGAAUCCAUUUUU